AUCAGAGCUUGAACUGCAGCUGAAACAAGCAGUGGGAGAGGUUUACUUAUACACCACAAUAUGCUUCCCUUUAGAGGAGUGGAUACCAUUUGGUCUAACGUGUGGCCUAACAUGUGGGAGUCUGAACCACCAGGGGGGCCAGUGUCUAGAGGAGAGGGACAUGUUCCUGAUGGCCUGAAAGGGGCGCGCACUGGGGGGCGGGGGCGGGGGGCUCUGGAUAACAGGUGCUCUGCCAGGUGGCACAGGUCCAAGGGCAAACCCUGACUCUGCACCUUAUUAUCAGCUGUGUGCAGUGGGACAAGUUACUCUCUCUCUCUCUGAGCCUCCUCCAACAGUCUCUGCCUCACAGACUUUCUGGCUUACGUGAGAUAAUACCGACAAUAUUGCCAAGCACAUGGCAGGUUCUUAAAAAACGUUCAUUGAGUCUGAGUGUAAAUGUGCCCAGUCAGGAUGGUGAGGCAUCACCCCACGCCCUCCGACUGGAGUGCCCGUCGGCACACACUGCGUUCUGCAUACAAUGAGGCCUGCAGAGCCCCUGACAGCCAGGGCGAUUUGCCUGCUGCCUGGCUUAUUCGUCUUGCUCCCCAUGACACCAGCGCCAGCGGGAACCCUGCUGGUGUGUCUGCAGGGUCACCAGGGGCCAGGCCCAGAUGGAUGUCAGGGCAGGCUGCUGAGGUGAAUUAUUUAGCACCCCUGCUCCGAGGUAGCAGCCCCUGAUUCAUCAGGCAGGAACCACAUUCCUCUUCCCUUAAAUGGCACAUGCAGAGCCUGGCUGCGGGCUGAAGCUGGAAGGAGCCUCACUGCUCAGCUCAUCACAGCUGCGGUGGCUGCGGAAGGAAGGGCUGUUAGGAGCUCAGCCAGAAAGAAGACACACAGAAGGGGUUCGGCAAGCUUUGAAGAGGGGAGCCAUGUUACUGGCAACCGGAAAUAUCAAGAAUGAAAGAAGGUUAUAGUCUAUCCGUGGCUGAAAACAGCUGUCCAGAGAAAACUGGGAUGUUUCUUGGCGGGAUCCUUUGGCAGAGCCCAAACACAGCCACCGGGUACUACCCACAGGCAUUCCAAAGGCCUUUCAUCCUUCGGGACUGCCAAGGUAACUAUUCUCAGGAGCGCCUAGCCACAGAGACAGCAGUGGAGAGAUUUAUAAGCCAGAUUUACAGGUAACAUUUACUACAUACACAACAUCUCAUCUAACCCUCCUGACAAGCCUUCAAGGUUCUAGCAAUAGUUGUUUAUCACAGAUAAAGAAACUGAGGCUUGGAGAAAUCAAAAUAGCUGUGAACUGCAUGCAGGCUAUUCACCUAACUUCGGAGCUGAUUUGCUUUUUCUUCUGUCUAUUGCUAUUCUUAAAAUCUGGAGUUCCCGUUGUCAAGAACAGUGGGUUCUCAGUGGGUUAAGAAUCUGACAUAGAGUACUGUGAAGAUGUGGGUUAGGUCCCCAGCCCCGCUCAGCGGGUUAAGGAUCCAGGGUUGCCGCAAACUGCGGCAUAGGUUGCAGAUGAUCCUCGGAUUUGGUGUUGCUUUGGCUGGCCCGUAAGCCAGCAACUGCUGCUCCAAUUUGACCCCUAUGCCACAGGUGAAGCCAUAAAAAGAAAAAAAGAAAAUUUGCAUUUAGCCAACUGAAUUUUGUCUUCUCAUUCCCUCUAGUCUAGGCACAGGUUGAUGUGGCUAUGAGGGACUCUUGGGUUGGGCCAGUUAUGGGUGGAUGCUCUCAUCCCCCUAAGAGACUGACCCGAUCAAGAAGACCACCUGGGAAAACAAGGCUUUCCAGGACUGAAGGGCAGGUUCCUGUGCCUGUCACAAGUGCAGGGUUGUUGACUAUGGCCCCUCUUGAUGGUGACAAGGGAAAUACAGGCAGACUUUGGCAAUAUUUCAGAUGUGGUUCCAGACCACCAUAAUAAAGUGAAUAAUAAAAUGAGGUCUGCCUGUAUUGAGCACUUCAAUAUAGUUGGAGCCUCUUUUCAGGCCAACGGAGUUGGGCCUGGAUGAAUCCCAAGGGAUAUUCUUCUAACUCAGGAAACAUCGCAAAUCCGUGGGACUCUGAGGACCCAGAGAAUUCCUCACGUCCCUGUGCGGGCCAUGCAGUGCCUCAGUGAGUAUGUGCUAGGCCUUCUACAGAAUUCAUUCCUCUCCCUUGGCCAACCCCUCUCCCCUGGUCACCAGCCUGAUAGAGUCGGCGCACGGAGGCCUCCCCACAGCAUGAUGCUGGGUUCUUGGGCUUCAAUGUGUGAUCCUGGAGUAAGAAUAUUAGCUUCCACAGGGAACAUGUUGACCGGGCAGAGUCUCAGUCUCCACCUAGACCUACUGAAUCUGGAGGUGGAGCUGAUCAUCCUAGUUUUUAGCAAGCCCUGCAGAUUUAAGUUUGAGACCCAGGGGUCGAAGUAAUGGCCAUGAACUGCUACUAAGAGCCAAAAAAGAGCAGAGGGGGUGAGCAUGGGCCUGAGACAGGAAGGGUCUCCGAGGGGCCCAAAACGGCAAGCUGGAAUCCAGGAGAUGGAGUUCAGCCCACGGAAGUGUGUUAUUGGGUCUACACUAGAGGUUGGGAAACUGAAAAGGGCCAAGCAAUAUCUAGGGUAGGUUUUAAAAAUCAUAUGAUCUCUGACUCUGGUACAGCUAUUCAACUCUGCUGCUAUAGUGUGAAAACUAAGAGGCAAUCUGUAAGCAGGUGGGCAUGGCAAAUCCCAAUCAAGCUUUCUCAAAACAGGUGCUGGGCCAGAUUUGACCUUUACGUUGUGCUCUGCCGAGCCUACAUCUGCAAAACAACUUCUCUUAAAAAGAAAGCAAAACAAAAGAAACCAAAAAAAAAACCCUCAGAAGAUCUGGCCAUGCUCCACUUCAAGAAGCAGCAAUCAGCUGGAGCUGAAGGGGCAGCCCUCUUCCCUGAUGACAGUGAUCACAGAUUUUCUUCCAAAUACCAGGGCAGAGUCAUUCAUACUUACUAUCCUGCUCUUUUUCUCCCCAUCCACUUAUACUGACAUUAAAUGUGCAUCUGUAGAUACACAUGCAUAUGUACAUAUAUAUGUAUAUGUGUGUAUGCACAUUUUAACACCCACCAGCUUUCAGAAGUUCCUAUUACAGAGAUGUCCACACACCUCAGUUAUGUCCAAGGGCUUUAACACCACAAUGGAAAGAAGCCUGGUUCAGAAUUCUGGGUUUCGGGCUCCAGCCCUUGAUCUGACCUUGGAGCUUUAACUUGAGCAAGGUUGUGACACUCCCUCACGGUCCACUUGUGCUCAAGUGCAGAAACUACCCCUUCCCUCUUCCUUCUUCUCUGGGAUGCUGUGAGAACAAGCCGGCAGUACCACCUGGGAAAGUAGCAUAAAAUGGCCUGAAUGUCAGCCCCCGAAAUCAUGCCUUUGGGGUUGGCCAAGCAGGAGAAAAGUUUUUGUCCUAUUUUUCUCCUACAUCAGGUGUCUAAACAUGGUCUUAAAUCAAAAUGGGUAAUACUCAAGGGUACUGGUCCUCUCCUGACCUACCUCAUGUCCUCUGAAUGGGAGACCACAGAAAGAAAUCUCUCUGUAUUUAGAAGAGGAUUAUUUUACUCACAUCAGUGGAAGGUUCUUUGGAAAGCUCAGAAUGCAAGAUGUGACGUCUAAUCAGCUUUUCUCUUUUCUGUAGGCAGCAUAAAGCUUAAAGCUCAGGGGUCUUAUUUGGAAUCUUCUUCCCUCAUUCAGUUUUCCUUCCUCCUCUCCCCAUCCUCACAUUGACCUAAAUAAAUAAAUAAUGUGCACAAGAUGAUAAUGAUCUUUUCUUAAAGAAGGAAAAAGGCAUAUUUAAUGUCACCCUCUCAGCAGUCUACCUGGAACCUUGCAUUCUAACUUAGGUUAUAUGAAUCCAGCGCUGCCUUUUUCCAAUUACACAUUUUUUGGGGGGGCCUUUCCAUCAAGGAAAUUCCUCUACCUAAGUGCCCCUCCCUCUUUCUUCAACUUGCAUGCUUUUUCCUCACUCUGCCUACUCCAGAAAAGGUCUCUCAAAAGAAAAUACAUCAAUCUUCAACUUAUCUGAGUGGAAUGUUUGCACAAAGAAUCACAGAGGUUCUAUGAUUGGUUACACAAGUUAAUUUUCCAUUUACAUUAUAGAGCAACAAUUUAUUCUACAAUAAAACCAGCCAACCCUGAGAGUCCACUGCAGUCGCUGCCUUGGCUGGGAGCCAAGAUUCCUGGACUCUUGCUCCCACCACUCCGCCUCCUGCAUUCACAUGGGCAGCCCUUCUUUUACAGGCUGCUUCUCUUUGGAUGCACUUCUCUUACUCCAUCACCUGUGCAUUUGAGACACUGAGCAUCAGUCUAGGAAUGACAGUCUAUGGAUCCUGUCAGCAUUAACAGUGGAGCCAGGAGUAGACCCGGCCACACGUAAUGGACAGGGAGAUGGAGAUGCUUAUAAAUGGAGAGAGAGACAACAGAGGGAUGGCUGGAAAGCUUAACUGUGCACUUACUGUGUCCCAGUCAUCCCAAGAGAGGGAAUAAAUAUCUCCAUUUGAGGGAUGAGAAAAGUGAGGUUUAAGAGGGUAAACAGUUGCCCUAAAGAAAAACAGAAAGUGACAGAACAGGGAUUGGAACUUAGGUCUGUUUUGUACCUAAGCCAGUAACUCUUAGAUGCAGAGAUGUACUAUGAUGUACCUGUGCCCACAGCUCUAAAAACUGGGAUGCCAUCCCUUGAGAACAGACACUUUUUUUUUUUUUUUUUGUCUUUCCUAGGGCUGCACUGAGGCAUGUGGAGGUUCCCAGACUA
rnacentral:lncRNA from 1 species